rnacentral:rRNA from 1 species
UGAAAAUUUGGGGGUAAAAAGUGUGUAGGGGGUCGUUUNAAAGACAUGUGAAAAACCCGGGNUCUACACGGGAAAUGCACAUGAUACUGGGCAACUAGAAAGUGGUAGAGAGUAGGGGAAAAUUNGGUGUAGAACAGAAAAAUGUAGAGAUAAGGAGGAAAAUACAUGGGGAAAGCAGAUACCCGGGCCCACAUUGACACUGAGGCACGAAAAAGUGGGGAGCAAACACGAUUAGAUACCCCGGUAGUCCACGCCCUAAAAGAUAGAAACGGUCAAUCGUGUA